AUGCUCUGGGCUCCCCUCAUCAUCCUGCUGGGGACGUGGUGCACAGGUUCCAGCUCGCAGACUGUGCUGACUCAGCCGCCCUCAGUGUCAGUGUCCCCAGGAAACACCGUGAAACUCUCCUGCACCAUGAGCAGUGGGACCAGCAUCAGUGACUACUCUGUGCACUGGUACCAGCAGCAACCUGGGACUUCUCCACGAUACCUGCUGUAUUACUAUUCAGAGUCCAGCAAGGGCCAGGGCUCUGGGGUCCCUGCUCGUUUCUCUGGUUCCAAAGACACGUCCAGUAACACCGGCUAUUUGACCAUCUCCGGGGCCCUGGCAGAGGAUGAGGCUGAUUAUUACUGUGCUGCGUGGAAGGGUGGGAGUGAUCCUCACAGUGACACAGACAGAAGUGGAAGUUCUCUGGCCCAGUACGUGCUGACUCAGCCGCCAUCAGCAUCUGUCUCUCCAGGGCAAAAUGCUCAACUCACCUGCUCAGGGAACAACAUUGGGGGCAAGAAUGUGCAGUGGUUCCAACAGAAACCUGGCAGUGCCCCCCUACAGCUUAUCUAUCAAAGUAGCAAGAGACCCUCCGGAAUCCCCGAUCGAUUCUCUGGGGCCAACUCCGGUAACACAGCCAUGUUAACCAUCACUGGAGUCCAGGCACAGGACGAGGCUGAUUAUUACUGUCAG